rnacentral:rRNA from 1 species
AUAUUCUGUAGCAAGGUUAACCGAAUAGGGGAGCCGAAGGGAAACCGAGUCUUAACUGGGCGUUAAGUUGCAGGGUAUAGACCCGAAACCCGGUGAUCUAGCCAUGGGCAGGUUGAAGGUUGGGUAACACUAACUGGAGGACCGAACCGACUAAUGUUGAAAAAUUAGCGGAUGACUUGUGGCUGGGGGUGAAAGGCCAAUCAAACCGGGAGAUAGCUGGUUCUCCCCGAAAGCUAUUUAGGUAGCGCCUCGUGAAUUCAUCUCCGGGGGUAGAGCACUGUUUCGGCAAGGGGGUCAUCCCGACUUACCAACCCGAUGCAAACUGCGAAUACCGGAGAAUGUUAUCACGGGAGACACACGGCGGGUGCUAACGUCCGUCGUGAAGAGGGAAACAACCCAGACCGCCAGCUAAGGUCCCAAAGUCAUGGUUAAGUGGGAAACGAUGUGGGAAGGCCCAGACAGCCAGGAUGUUGGCUUAGAAGCAGCCAUCAUUUAAAGAAAGCGUAAUAGCUCACUGGUCGAGUCGGCCUGCGCGGAAGAUGUAACGGGGCUAAACCAUGCACCGAAGCUGCGGCAGCGACACUGUGUGUUGUUGGGUAGGGGAGCGUUCUGUAAGCCUGUGAAGGUGUGCUGUGAGGCAUGCUGGAGGUAUCAGAAGUGCGAAUGCUGACAUAAGUAACGAUAAAGCGGGUGAAAAGCCCGCUCGCCGGAAGACCAAGGGUUCCUGUCCAACGUUAAUCGGGGCAGGGUGAGUCGACCCCUAAGGCGAGGCCGAAAGGCGUAGUCGAUGGGAAACAGGUUAAUAUUCCUGUACUUGGUGUUACUGCGAAGGGGGGACGGAGAAGGCUAUGUUGGCCGGGCGACGGUUGUCCCGGUUUAAGCGUGUAGGCUGGUUUUCCAGGCAAAUCCGGAAAAUCAAGGCUGAGGCGUGAUGACGAGGCACUACGGUGCUGAAGCAACAAAUGCCCUGCUUCCAGGAAAAGCCUCUAAGCAUCAGGUAACAUCAAAUCGUACCCCAAACCGACACAGGUGGUCAGGUAGAGAAUACCAAGGCGCUUGAGAGAACUCGGGUGAAGGAACUAGGCAAAAUGGUGCCGUAACUUCGGGAGAAGGCACGCUGAUAUGUAGGUGAAGUCCCUCGCGGAUGGAGCUGAAAUCAGUCGAAGAUACCAGCUGGCUGCAACUGUUUAUUAAAAACACAGCACUGUGCAAACACGAAAGUGGACGUAUACGGUGUGACGCCUGCCCGGUGCCGGAAGGUUAAUUGAUGGGGUCAGCGCAAGCGAAGCUCUUGAUCGAAGCCCCGGUAAACGGCGGCCGUAACUAUAACGGUCCUAAGGUAGCGAAAUUCCUUGUCGGGUAAGUUCCGACCUGCACGAAUGGCGUAAUGAUGGCCAGGCUGUCUCCACCCGAGACUCAGUGAAAUUGAACUCGCUGUGAAGAUGCAGUGUACCCGCGGCAAGACGGAAAGACCCCGUGAACCUUUACUAUAGCUUGACACUGAACAUUGAGCCUUGAUGUGUAGGAUAGGUGGGAGGCUUUGAAGUGUGGACGCCAGUCUGCAUGGAGCCGACCUUGAAAUACCACCCUUUAAUGUUUGAUGUUCUAACGUGGACCCGUGAUCCGGGUUGCGGACAGUGUCUGGUGGGUAGUUUGACUGGGGCGGUCUCCUCCUAAAGAGUAACGGAGGAGCACGAAGGUUGGCUAAUCCUGGUCGGACAUCAGGAGGUUAGUGCAAUGGCAUAAGCCAGCUUGACUGCGAGCGUGACGGCGCGAGCAGGUGCGAAAGCAGGUCAUAGUGAUCCGGUGGUUCUGAAUGGAAGGGCCAUCGCUCAACGGAUAAAAGGUACUCCGGGGAUAACAGGCUGAUACCGCCCAAGAGUUCAUAUCGACGGCGGUGUUUGGCACCUCGAUGUCGGCUCAUCACAUCCUGGGGCUGAAGUAGGUCCCAAGGGUAUGGCUGUUCGCCAUUUAAAGUGGUACGCGAGCUGGGUUUAGAACGUCGUGAGACAGUUCGGUCCCUAUCUGCCGUGGGCGCUGGAGAACUGAGGGGGGCUGCUCCUAGUACGAGAGGACCGGAGUGGACGCAUCACUGGUGUUCGGGUUGUCAUGCCAAUGGCACUGCCCGGUAGCUAAAUGCGGAAGAGAUAAGUGCUGAAAGCAUCUAAGCACGAAACUUGCCCCGAGAUGAGUUCUCCCUGACCCUUUAAGGGUCCUGAAGGAACGUUGAAGACGACGACGUUGAUAGGCCGGGUGUGUAAGCGCAGCGAUGCGUUGAGCUAACCGGUACUAAUGAACCGUGAGGCUUAACCUU